UUUGACUUCUUAAAUGAGGUUUCGUUUACAUUGUAUUCAAUGUAAAGUUUGAUUAUUAAUUUGUUUUAGCGAAACUGAUUACACAAAAUGGACAUACCACCCGAAAUGAUCAAGGCUAUGGGGCAAAUGAAGUCAUUGCCUCCUGUUCCAUGGCCAGAGUAUGAAGAGAUACCUUACCCAUCCUUUCUAACUUUUCGAAUGAAAGGAGCGGAACAGACUUUACAGGAAAUAAAGAACUUUCGGUCACGAGAAACAGAUAUAUUAAUAUGCACUCAUUCAAAAUCAGGCACACAUUGGCUAUAUGAAAUAUUGGCAUUGAUUAUAAGUAAUACAACAGAAUUAGUUAAAGAGACAAAGGGUUAAAGGAUGCUGGAAGCAAUACCAGACUUAACCGUGCUUGAUGCACUUCUAUCUCCUAGAAUUCUCGACACGCAUGUGCAGUUCCAAUAUAUACCAACACGUCAUAUUGCAAUAGGCGGGAAAAUAGUUCACAUGAUAAGGAAUCCUAAAGAUGUCAGCGUUUCAGACCAUAACCACGUAAGGAAAGAUACCGUAUAGCGGGUUAUUUUCGCGGGGUGCAAAUUUUCGCUUAUUUUCGCGGAUAGAACAAAAUCGCCAAAAUAAGUUCCGCCAAAUUAAAGGUGUACAUACAAAGGUAUGGAUACAAGUUUUUAAUACGCCAAAAUAAUAACCGCCAAAAUAUUUCGCAUACCUUGUUCAAUGAAAAUCGCGAAAUUUUACACCCGCGAAAAUAACCCGCUAUACGGUAUGGUAACAAAUUUAGAUAUACCAUGGGAUGAGUACUUUGAAAUCUGGAUGACGGGAAAAUUACCGUAUGGGUCAUGGUUUGAUUAUGAACUUGGAAUAGAACAAGCAGAAAA